GACAGAGGUCCCGAGCGUUAGGCGGAAUCACUGGGCUUAAAGCGUGUGUAGGCGGAUUGGUAAGUACCUUGUGAAAUCCCACGGCUCAACCGUGGAACUGCUUGGUAUACUGCUUAUCUUGGGCCACUUAGGGGUUACCGGAACAAACGGUGGAGCGGUGAAAUGCGUAGAUAUCGUUUGGAACGCCAAUGGUGAAAACAGGCAACUGGGAGUGUGCCGACGCUGAGACACGAAAGCCAGGGGAGCGAACGGG
rnacentral:rRNA from 1 species